rnacentral:rRNA from 1 species
UACGGAGGGUGCGAGCGUUGUCCGGAAUCACUGGGCGUAAAGGGCGCGUAGGCGGCCGUGUAAGUCACUUGUGAAAUCCCGGGGCUCAACUCCGGGGCUGCAGGUGAGACUGCGUGGCUAGAGCUUGGUAGAGGCGAGUGGAAUUCCCGGUGUAGCGGUGGAAUGCGUAGAUAUCGGGAAGAACACCGGUGGCGAAGGCGGCAUCCUGGACCGGUAUUGACGCUGAGGCGCGAAAGCUAGGGGAGCAAACGGG